rnacentral:rRNA from 1 species
GAAGGGAGCUUGCUCCCGGAUGUUAGCGGCGGACGGGUGAGUAACACGUGGGUAACCUGCCUGUAAGACUGGGAUAACUCCGGGAAACCGGAGCUAAUACCGGAUAGUUCCUUGAACCGCAUGGUUCAAGGAUGAAAGACGGUUUCGGCUGUCACUUACAGAUGGACCCGCGGCGCAUUAGCUAGUUGGUGGGGUAAUGGCUCACCAAGGCGACGAUGCGUAGCCGACCUGAGAGGGUGAUCGGCCACACUGGGACUGAGACACGGCCCAGACUCCUACGGGAGGCAGCAGUAGGGAAUCUUCCGCAAUGGACGAAAGUCUGACGGAGCAACGCCGCGUGAGUGAUGAAGGUUUUCGGAUCGUAAAGCUCUGUUGUUAGGGAAGAACAAGUGCGAGAGUAACUGCUCGCACCUUGACGGUACCUAACCAGAAAGCCACGGCUAACUACGUGCCAGCAGCCGCGGUAAUACGUAGGUGGCAAGCGUUGUCCGGAAUUAUUGGGCGUAAAGGGCUCGCAGGCGGUUUCUUAAGUCUGAUGUGAAAGCCCCCGGCUCAACCGGGGAGGGUCAUUGGAAACUGGGAAACUUGAGUGCAGAAGAGGAGAGUGGAAUUCCACGUGUAGCGGUGAAAU